UCAACUCAUUUAACCAUUUAACCUAUCAAACUAAAUGAGUUAAUGGGUUAACCCAACUCAAUUAACAAAUGAGUUGAGUCAAACCCAUGAACUCAUUUAUUUUAGUCUGGGCGGUCUCCAUU
rnacentral:pre_miRNA from 1 species